rnacentral:rRNA from 1 species
ACAGAGGGGGCAAGCGUUGUUCGGAAUUACUGGGCGUAAAGGGCGCGUAGGCGGCCUGUUAAGUCGAACGUGAAAUCCCCGGGCUCAACCCGGGAACUGCGUCCGAUACUGGCAGGCUUGAAUUCGGGAGAGGGAUGUGGAAUUCCAGGUGUAGCGGUGAAAUGCGUAGAUAUCUGGAGGAACACCGGUGGCGAAGGUGGCAUCCCGGACCGAUAUUGACGCUGAUGCGCGAAAGCCAGGGGAGCAAACGGGA